AUGAAGAUGUUUGUGGUGUUUGUGAUCCUCGUGCACGUGUCCCAGCAUGCCUCAGCUGUGGAGCUCUAUGAGGGGGAGGAGUUUGUCCUGCUGCCCUGUGAGUAUCAAACUUAUGAAAUCCGUUACCCCGCAGUGGUGUGGAGCCGCUACGAUCUCAAUCCUCCAACCGUCCACCAGCGUCAGCCGGAAGGUGAUGAACUUAAAGACCAAAACCAGCUUUACAGCGGCCGAACAUCCAUGAUGGCUGACGCUCUGGAAACUGGAGACCUCAGCCUCACUCUGACAAAACUCCGCCUCUCUGACAGCGGCAACUACACCUGCACCGUCAGAUCAUUUCAGGGAGAAUGGAAAGUGAGAAACAUACAGCUGCAGGUCAAAGUUUCCCAGCAUGCCUCAGUUGUGGAGCUGUAUGAGGGGGAGGAGUUUGUCCUGCUGCCCUGUGAGUAUCAAAUGUCUGAACUGGACAACCCCACAGUGGUGUGGAGCCGCUACGAUCUCAAUCCUCCAACCGUCCACCAGCGUCAGCAGGAAGGUGAUGAACUUAAAGACCAAAACCAGCUUUACAGCGGCCGAACAUCCAUGAUGGCUGACGCUCUGGAAACUGGAGACCUCAGCCUCAGUCUGACAAAACUCCGCCUCUCUGACAGCGGCAACUACACCUGCACCGCCAGAGCAUUAGGAGGACAACGGAGAGUAAGAGACAUACAGCUGCAGGUCAAAGGUCAGCAACAAACCCUAAAACAGACAGGUCAGAGGUGAGUACUGUAUAUUCAAGACAGAGGUCAGAAGUCAUGUUAUUUAUGUUUCUGUUUCCCACAGCACGGUUUCCAUCCUGGGCCACAGCUCUCCUGGUUCUCCUCGUUCUCCUGGUUCUCGGUCUUAUUGUUGGGGGUCUUUUUGUGUAUUUUCGGCAGUAUUUCAUGUCAGGUACGUCACUACUACAUUACCCAUAAUCCUGAUGGUUACCAUCUUUACUCUCGUAUCUUUGUGACUGUUGAGCAAGUUUUCAUAGAAAUAUAGGACGUUGAGGGCAACUAUAAACCAAAGGUCACACUGCCUACUUGAGCAGUGUGUGGUGGAAUCUCGCUCAUAUGUUAACAGAGCUUUUAUUGUAUUUGUAUUUAUCAAAGGCAAAUUCAGUAUAGAAAAACAGGGCUGUGUAAACACCACGUGCUGGUCACACUCAGGUAGGCAAUGUGAACCAAGGGUAAGAGAAGGAUGGUGCAGUGAAGUCUUGUUACAAUCAGAGUAACUGCUGCUGUCUGUACAGCUUAAAUUAUGGUUGGUUGUUAGAGUUGUUCUGGGUCAAAGGUCAGUGUUGAAGAUACACGUCAGAGAUCUGUACUAGAGAUACAGGCUCGAGGUCAGUGCUGUAGAUACACGUCAGAUGUCAGUAGACACAGGUCAGAG
rnacentral:lncRNA from 15 species